GACGAACGCUGGCGGCGUGCUUAACACAUGCAAGUCGAGCGGAGCGGCGCACGGGCGAGUAACGCGUGAGUAACUGCCCCCCUCUCUGGGGUAACAGUUGGAAACGGCUGCUAAUACCGGAUAGUGGGGGAUGACUCGCGUCCUAUCAGCUUGUUGGUGGGGUAGUGGCCUACCAAGGCGACGACGGGUAGCCGGCCUGAGAGGGCGACCGGCCACAUGGGGCUGGGAUACGGCCCAAACCCGAACGAGACGCAGCAGUGGGGAACAUUGCGCAAGGGGGGAAACCCAUAAGGAGCAACACGCGCGCGGGAUGACGGCCUUCGGGUUGUAAACCGCUUUCAGACAUGACGCGGUAGUGGCAGAAGAAGCACCGGCUAACUACGUGCCAGCAGCCGCGGUAAUAC
rnacentral:rRNA from 1 species